ACAUGUCAUUUUUCAUAUCAGACCCUUUAUCGGCCCUCGUUCAUGAUAUCAGCCCUCGAGCCUCCGGCUCUUGGGCUGAUAUCACAACCUUGGGCCGAUAAAGGGUUUGAUAUGAAAAAUGCCAUGUAAUAAUC
rnacentral:sRNA from 1 species